UAUAAUAAUAAACACAUCCAAUUGUUUCAAAAGCAGGUAAAAACAAAAUAAAACUGCUGGAUGCCGAGGGCACUGAGCAAUAUGUAGAUUUAAAUGAUAUACUACAGUGCAUUGGUAAUCGAUACAAAAAUGUGAUAGUAAUUUUCGAGAAUGGCACAGAAGAAUCAGCACCAAAUAAAGACCUAACACAUGAAUAUAUAAUAAUCGGAGGACGCUGCAUCAAGGAAUCACAAGGUAUAAACGAGAAUAAUUAUGGUCAAGUCGCCUCUGGAUAUUGUAAUCCCUCAAUUGAAAAGGCUGGAAAAACCGUUUUUCGUUAAUCACAUGAAUUGAAAACCGGCGCGUUCAGUGCAAGUUCGUCUACAGAGCCUUGCAUUUGCUCCAAUCCCAGGAAUAGUAGACUUGUUUAUCGUAUCGGCCAAGGUGUAAAAGAUGGCAGUGAUGUUGGUAAACACGUGGGUCGUAACAUAUUUCGAGCUGGAGGCGGUGCAAUUGGCGCUGCUACGGGUGCGAUAUUGGGCGGUCUCUUGGGAGCGAUUGACAGUUUCCUUUAAGGAACAUGAUAAUAUGACACUGCUAUAGAAUAGGGGCGCGCCAAAAUGUGUGGAACCCAACGCGCCUCGAAUAUUGUGUGGUUAAACAGUUUUUAAUAACAAUUGAUAUAAAACUAAAACCAAACCAUAUUCAAAA